CAUGAACCUGCGUUAACCAAUCUUUCCAUAUGAACAUUUUACUCCGCAUAGUGAUUCAAUAAAUCAGUGUUACAACCUAUGGAAACCAAAGUUUCAUUCCCCAGGUGACCGGAAACAUGGCUCUUAACAAGAUUGGUGCAGGUGUGCUGAAAUGGUGGAAAUGUGUCAAACCUGCUGUGUCCUCCAGUUGAAAUGGGCCGAUCAGAGAACAAACAGCAGUGCAGGCAAAGCUGGAUUUCUACUCAUCAUCCUGAGUUUGUGAAGGACACACAAUGCACCGUAGUGGACAUGAGGGGGAAAGGAGGUGGCCUGAUGCGCGCCCCCGUAUGUCGCACUGGAAUAGGCUGAAGAAGGAGGAAUGACCGCUUGUGCCAACCGCUGAGUCAAGAGCAACAGAUAGGAUGAAUAAAAACAGGAAGUCUCGCGAUUUGACCUUCAAAAUAAAACGUCAGGUUAAAGAAAGUCCUUGAACUAAU